GAUGAACGCUAGCGGCGGGCCUAAUACAUGCAAGGCGAAGGGGCAGCAAUGUCACUGUCGUACGGGUGCGUAACGCGUAUGCAACCUACCUAUCACAGGGGGAUAGCCUUUGGAAACAGGGAUUAAUACCGCAUAAAGCAGGGACACCGCAUGGUGAUAUUGCUAAAGAUUUAUAGGUGAUAGAUGGGCAUGCGGCUGAUUAGUUAGUUGGCAGGGUAACGGCCUACCAAGACGAUGAUCAGUAGGGGGCGUCAGAGCGUGGUCCUCCACACUGGCACUGAGAUACGGGCCAGACUCCUACGGGAGGCAGCAGUAGGGAAUAUUGGGCAAUGGAUGCAAGUCUGACCCAGCCAUGCCGCGUGCAGGAAGAAGGUCCUCUGGAUUGUAAACGGCUUUUAUCGGGGAAGAAUAGUUUUCUUGCGAGGGAAUGUGACGGUACCCGAUGAAUAAGCCACGGCUAACUACGUGCCAGCAGCCGCUGUAAGAC
rnacentral:rRNA from 1 species